UACCCUUGACAUCCUGCGAACCUGGCCGAGAGGCUGGGGUGCCGCAAGGAACGCAGAGACAGGUGCUGCAUGGCUGUCGUCAGCUCGUGUUGUGAGAUGUUGGGUUAAGUCCCGUAACGAGCGCAACCCUUGUGCUUAGUUGCCACCAUUAAGUUGGGGACUCUAAGGAGACUGCCGGUGAAGAACCGGAGGAAGGCGGGGACGACGUCAAGUCAUCAUGGCCUUUAUGGGUAGGGCUACACACGUGCUACAAUGGGGCGUACAGAGGGUAGCGAAAGCGCGAGCUGGAGCCAAUCUCAAAAAGCGCCUCGUAGUCCGGAUUGGAGUCUGGAACUCGACUCCAUGAAGUUGGAAUCGCUAGUAAUCGCGAAUCAGCAACGUCGCGGUGAAUACGUUCCCGGGCC
rnacentral:rRNA from 1 species